rnacentral:rRNA from 1 species
AUACGGGAGGGGCAAGCGUUGUUCGGAAUUACUGGGCGUAAAGGGCUCGUAGGCGGCCAACUAAGUCCGACGUGAAAUCCCCAGGCUUAACCUGGGAACUGCGUCGGAUACUGGAUGGCUUGAAUCCGGGAGAGGGAUGCAGAAUUCCAGGUGUAGCGGUGAAAUGCGUAGAUAUCUGGAGGAAUACCGGUGGCGAAGGCGGCAUCCUGGACCGGCAUUGACGCUGAGGAGCGAAAGCUAGGGGAGCAAACGGGAUUAGAUACCCCGGUAGUCCUAGCCCUAAACGAUGAAUGCUUGGUGUGGCGGGUAUCGAUCCCUGCCGUGCCGAAGCUAACGCAUUAAGCAUUCCGCCUGGGGAGUACGGUCGCAAGGCUGAAACUCAAAUGAAUUGGCGGGG